rnacentral:rRNA from 1 species
AUUGAACGCUGGCGGCAGGCCUAACACAUGCAAGUCGAACGAGUGGCCGACGGGUGAGUAAUGUCUGGGAAACUGCCCGAUGGAGCGGGAUAACUACUGGAAACGGUCGCUAAUACCGCAUACCCUCGGAUGUGCCCACAUGGGAUUAGCUAGUAGGUGGGGUAACGGCUCACCUAGGCGACGAUCCCUAGCUGGUCUGAGAGGAUGACCAGCCACACUGGAACUGAGACACGGUCCAGACUCCUACGGGAGGCAGCAGUGGGGAAUAUUGCACAAUGGGCGCAAGCCUGAUGCAGCAAUGCCGCGUGUAUGAAGAAGGCCUUCGGGUUGUAAAGUACUGUCAGCGAGGAGGCGUUACUCGCAGAAGAAGCACCGGCUAACUACGUGCCAGCAGCCGCGGUAAUAC